rnacentral:rRNA from 1 species
AUUGAACGCUGGCGGCAUGCCUUACACAUGCAAGUCGAACGGUAGCGCGGGGUAACCUGGCGACGAGUGGCGAACGGGUGAGUAAUGCAUCGGAACGUGCCCUGGAAUGGGGGAUAACGUAGCGAAAGUUACGCUAAUACCGCAUAUUCUGUGAGCAGGAAAGCAGGGGAUCGCAAGACCUUGCGUUCUGGGAGCGGCCGAUGUCGGAUUAGCUAGUUGGUGGGGUAAAGGCCUACCAAGGUGACGAUCCGUAGCGGGUCUGAGAGGAUGAUCCGCCACACUGGGACUGAGACACGGCCCAGACUCCUACGGGAGGCAGCAGUGGGGAAUUUUUGGACAAUGGGCGGAAUCCUGAUCCAGCCAUGCCGCGUGAGUGAAGAAGGCC